rnacentral:rRNA from 1 species
GACGAACGCUGGCGGCGUGCUUAACACAUGCAAGUCGAACGGAAAGGCCCUGCUUUUGUGGGGUGCUCGAGUGGCGCACGGGUGAGUAACACGUGAGUAACCUGCCCUUGUCUUUGGGAUAACUUCAGGAAACUCGGGCUCAUACCGGAUAGGAGCUCCUGCUGCAUGGUGGGGGUUGGAAAGUUUCGGCGGUUGGGGCUGGACUCGCGGCUUAUCCGCUUGUUGGUGGGGUAGUGGCUUACCAAGGCUUUGACGGGUAGCCGGCCUGAGAGGGUGACCGGCCACAUUGGGACUGCGAGACGGCGCAGACGCCUACGGGAGGCAGCAGUGGGGAACAUGGCACAGUGGGCGGAAGCCUGAUGCAGAAACGCCGCGAGCGGGAUGACGGGUUUCGGGUGGUAAACCGCUGUGGAAGGAGACGAAGCGGGAGUGACGGUAAUGGGUAAAGAAGCACCGGCUAACUACGUG